GACGAACGCUGGCGGCGUGCUUAACACAUGCAAGUCGAGCGGUAAGGCUCCUUCGGGAGUACACGAGCGGCGAACGGGGGAGUAACACGUGCGUAAUCUGCCCUUCACUUCGGGAUAACCACCGGAAACGGUGGCUAAUACCGAAUACGACCAGUAUUCGCAUGAGGUUGUGGUGGAAAGUCUUUUCGGUGAAGGAUGUGCUCGCGGCCUAUCAGCCUGUUGGUGGGGUAAUGGCCUACCAAGGGGUCGACGGGUAGCCGGCCUGAGAGGGUGACCGGCCACACUAGGACUGAGACACGGCCCAGACGCCGACGGGGGGCAGCUGUGGGGAAUAUCGGACGCUGGGCGAAAGCCUGAUCCAGCAACGCCGCGCGAGUGAUGACGGCCUUCGUGUUGUAAACCUCUUUCAGUACCGACGAAGCGCCCUGUCGGGUGGUGACGGUAGGUACAGAAGAAGGACCGGCCAACUACGUG
rnacentral:rRNA from 1 species